rnacentral:lncRNA from 1 species
CGUCGUGUGAAUAUUAUAAUGUUAUAAGUCCAUUUUACAGUGGAAAUGAGUUAUGGGUGUCAAUAGUUUCGUGCUGCAAUGUUCUAUCUCCCUAUAUAUUUAACCAGGCUUAAUUAUCUUCAAAUUUGCCUAAAACAGUAGUAUUAAAAUGAUAUAUCUCCAAAUACAAUGUUGUAUUCAGAAUUAUAGUGGUCUAAGUACAAACCAAUGAAAUUGACGGAUUCUGGGUCACAUGACAAAAGUUUACCAAUGGAGAUAGUAUGAAAUGAGGGCAUUAUAAUU